CUCAGUUCAAGAAUGACAGGGAACUUCUGAAGAGAGAAAAUGAGGAAGAGCCUGGAGCAUCUCCCAUAUGAGGAAAUGCUGAAUGACAGGGAACUAUUCAGCCCAGAGAAGACGGAGAGGGGAUCUCAUCACUGUUUAUAAAUAUCUGAAGUGUGGGAGUCAAAUGGAUGAAACUUUUUUUCAGUGUUUUGCAGAAACUGGACAAGGGGCAAUAGGCAAAAGUGGAACAUGGGAAGUAUCAUAUAAAUGUGAGGGAACUUGCUUUCGCAGAGGGUUGGACUCAGUGAUCCCCAGAGGUCCUUUCCUACAGCUACAAUUCUGUGAUACUUUGGGUUUACCUCCUCUGAUAAAUCAAUUGUCCAUCUGGAAGACAAGGCAACACCCGCCAUGGUGAUAUGCUUUGUAUUAAAAGAACUGAAGUAGCACAGGAGGAAGGAAACUAGAGAAGCACCAUGGGAAAACCUGCGAACACAAAUCUUUGUAUGAAGCUCUGUUGACUUCUCUUCGUAUCUUCCAAAAGGUCUGGCAGAAACAGAUGGCAGCCCCUUCUGCUUACAGACCCUUUUCCCAUACUUAAAGGAGCUUCUAACUAUGUCUGAAAACAUGAGGAAGAAUGAGUAGUGGAAAAUCCCAAUCUUUCAGGAAAAAAAUAUAUAUAUUUAUGUGUGUGUGUGUGUGUGUAUGCAUAUACAGGACUCCUCAGCAUGAAGGUUUCACAGAAGUGGCAUGGGUCUUUACUGUAAAGGAAAGUAAACAGUAGGAAUCAAUACUUUUGAAGUACUUUUAUCAGUCAUAGGCUCUUUAGUCUUCAUUUCUUUACUGUGUAAGUAUGUGCAUAUUUCAGUAGAAGGGGAAAUAUUUUUGCUAAGGAAUAUUGGCAGCAUUCCGUUUGUUGAAGAUAUAUGUAAAGAGAUAAAACACAUGGAAGCACUUUACAAGGCACUUUUUUUCCCCUUGCAUAACAAUUAUUUUAUAGCCAGUGCCUGUUUCAAGGAAUUGUAAGUACCUGUCUUGGUGGUUACAGUCUAAAUAGCUAAAAAUGUAAUCCACUUUUCACCAGUAAAUGCUGAUACUCUCCUCAUGUUUGUGCCCCGCUGCAUUCAUUGCUCUUUUCCUCAUUUCUGGUAACUUUGACUUCUUGUUCCUCACAGUGUAGAUCCUUCCAUUCAGAGUCCUGAUUUCAGUUGUGAUGCUUUUUGCUUCAUGCUGUUCUUCUGACACCUGCUAGCUUGUAGUUAUUCUCACGGGCCAACUUUCAGGCUCUAUUGUUUGGGUUUUGCUUGCUUUUUUAAUGGGGUAGACAGGAAAGGGAAGAAAAAAGGACUAUUUUCAGAUCCUGUGUUUCAUUAAUUAUGCAAAAGCUGUUUCUGUUUUUGUAUCACAGCAGAGCAGUGAGUCCUGAGGUGAAAUGGAAAUAUCAGUAUGUGAUGAUGAGUAUGAGGGACCUAAAGAAAAAUAGAUUUGUGCCUUUAGUAUUUACAUUUGCAUUAAUAUCAGCAAAAAGCUGCUAUUCCUGCAUAAAACAUCCAAUUUCAAGCAAAAUUCUGUUAAGCAAAGCCACCAAGCAGAAUUAUCUGACUAUAUUUUGAAGAAAUUGCAAUGCUCUUUCUGACCUCUCUUAGAGAAAUUGCUGUCUUUGUUUAUCCUCAGCUUUCCUCUGAAUUUCCUACUGUAGUAGGAAGCUUCAAACUGUGUUGCCCACUUCUGAUGCCUCUGAACUUCUGGGAAGCAGCUAUUAAUUUGUUUUUUUCUAUUCCCCGGUGAUGCCAGUUCAUAACAAGUAUGUUGGAAGUGACAAACUAGUAUCAACAUAAACAAGUGUCAUGAUUUUACAGGUCCUACAGUGUGGUACUCUUAUUUUCCAAAAGGUGAAGCGACAGUUUGAUUACACUUGAAGAACUUGAAGAUUAAAGGGAAAUGAAAUUUAAAAAUGAAAAAUAAAUCCUAACUAACUUCUAUCUUCAAUCUCAUAUUCAGUGGCAAGUGAAACAGUAUGAAACAGGCACAAACAUCACUGCAGCAACCACAUAAACAUGGCUGGGGGAGAUCACAGUUGUGAAUGUAUAAUUAGUGUCACCACACUCAGGGAGCGUGUCAACAGGGUGGCAGAACAGACCAAAAAAAAAGGAAAGGCUCCUUUCCCUCAGCACCCUUUCUGGAUGGGCCUGUAGAAAUCACUUAUCCAUUUACUGCAAAACCACUUGCGGUCACCAAAAAAAGAGAAGUCGCAUUGUGGUUGAAAAUGGUGUUUGAACUGUGAAGAUACAAGUUCUCUUUUUCAAUAAGCCACAUUAUUUUUUUCUACGUACACCUCAUUUAAGAGAAUUGGGCUUAAAUUGUUACUGAAUCAGUGACAAAUAGCAUAUUAGCUAUUUUACUCAGAAGAUGUUCCUUCACUUCUACUGUCUAUAUACUGAACCAAGAAGCAUUCAGGAAUCCUAGCCUGCUCUGAAGGGAACUGGAUCAUCAGGUUACAGGUCGUUUCAGGUCCAGUCACUGUAUAUCAUUUUUCUCUGAGAUUUUGUAUCAUUUGUUUCAGGUGGGUAACAGCCUGGAAUAAAGAGGAUCUGAAUUCUA